UUAAGCAUAUCACUAAGCGGAGGAAAAGAAACUAACAAGGAUUCCCCCAGUAACGGCGAGUGAACAGGGAAUAGCCCAGCACCGAAGCCUGUGGCCAUUUGGUCACCAGGCAAUGUGGUGUUCAGGUCAUCUCGCAGAAGCACUGCCCCGCUGUAAGUCCAGCAAUGAGUAUGGCAAUUUGAACAUGGCCCAGAGAGGGUGAAAGGCCCGUAUGAGUGGGGUGCAGAAACGUCAGUGCUUCUCUGAGUAGACCUUGGAGUCGGGUUGUUUGUGAAUGCAGCCCAAAGUGGGUGGUAAACUCCAUCCAAGGCUAAAUACUUACACGAGUCCGAUAGCAAACAAGUACCGUGAGGGAAAGUUGAAAAGUACUUUGAAGAGAGAGUAAACAGUGCGUGAAACCGCUCAGAGGUAAACAGGUGGAGUUGAACUGCAAGCUCCGAGAAUUUAACUGGUGAGAGUGGCAUAUGCUUGGAUAUGUUGAUUGGCACACGGAGUCUGCUUAGCUGCAGGCCCUGCUUCGGUGGGGUGCGAGAAACCACUUGUCAAGUGCUGUGCGCUCCGAGGGUACAUCGAGUCAACUUGCCAGUGCACUUUCUCAGAGUGAUCACCACGACCGGCGCUGUCGUCUGUCUGCUGAGAUCAAACCGUGAAUACUUCGUUCCCGUAGCGCUGUAGGCACGGGAUGGCAGGUAACUUGCCUGAGCAUGCUUAUGUGAGUGUAAUCGCUGAUCUCAGUGGUACUGUGCGGUGCGCCGGAGACGGCGGUCUGUGGUGCGUACAUGCGCAUUCAGUGGAUGGCGAGUGUGGGCUUGGUUGCCAUGUUGCUUGCAAAUGCAGGCCUGGUGAUAGCUCGUGCUUGUUGGACAUUGAGCUGUGUGUGGGGCACAUUAGCGGGCCAAUAGUCUGUGGUGUAGUGGUAGACGUUCCACCUGACCCGUCUUGAAACACGGACCAAGGAGAGUAACAUGUACGCGAGUCAUUGGGCCAUACGAAACCCAAAGGCGAAGUGAAAGUAAAGGUCCAACUUUGUUGGACUAUGGUGAGAUCCGAUCGUUCUUCAAAAUCCCAUGUCGAACGAGAGGCGCAUCACCGGCCCGUCCCAUGGCGUAGACACUGUCCUCGUGACUGGUGCAUCGUCGGGGUGGAGCAUGAGCGUACAUGUUGAGACCCGAAAGAUGGUGAACUAUGCUUGCGCAGGUUGAAGCCAGAGGAAACUCUGGUGGAGGACCGCAGCGAUUCUGACGUGCAAAUCGAUCGUCAAACGUGAGUAUGGGGGCGAAAGACUAAUCGAACCAUCUAGUAGCUGGUU
rnacentral:rRNA from 1 species